GUGGCGAACGGGUGAGUAACACGUGAGAUAACCUGCCCUUGACUCUGGGAUAAGCCUGGGAAACCGGGUCUAAUACUGGAUACGACCUUCUGGCGCAUGCCAUGUUGGUGGAAAGCUUUUGUGGUUUUGGAUGGACUCGCGGCCUAUCAGCUUGUUGGUGGGGUAAUGGCCUACCAAGGCGACAACGGGUAGCCGGCCUGAGAGGGUGACCGGCCACACUGGGACUGAGACACGGCCCAGACUCCUACGGGAGGCAGCAGUGGGGAAUAUUGCACAAUGGGCGCAAGCCUGAUGCAGCGACGCCGCGUGAGGGAUGAAGGCCUUCGGGUUGUAAACCUCUUUCAGUAGGGAAGAAGCCGGCCUUUCGGGGUUGGUGACGGUACCUGCAGAAGAAGCGCCGGCUAACUACGUGCCAGCAGCCGCGGUAAUACGUAGGGCGCAAGCGUUAUCCGGAAUUAUUGGGCGUAAAGAGCUCGUAGGCGGUUUGUCGCGUCUGCCGUGAAAGUCCGGGGCUUAACCCCGGAUCUGCGGUGGGUACGGGCAGACUAGAGUGCAGUAGGGGAGACUGGAAUUCCUGGUGUAGCGGUGAAAUGCGCAGAUAUCAGGAGGAACACCGAUGGCGAAGGCAGGUCUCUGGGCUGUAACUGACGCUGAGGAGCGAAAGCAUGGGGAGCGAACAGGAUUAGAUACCCUGGUA
rnacentral:rRNA from 1 species